UGAGUACGAGAUGCUACGGCAUCGAAGCAGUCUAUGUCAUACUUCCAAGAAAAGCUUGCACUGUCAUAAACAAAGAAUGCCUGUACCAUAACCGACACAGGUGGGUAGGUAGAGUAUACUAAGGGGCGCGAGAUAACUCUCUCUAAGGAACUCGGCAAAAUGACUCCGUAACUUCGGGAGAAGGAGUGCCUUAUUUCUAAGGUUGCAAUAACAAGAUCCAAGCAACUGUUUACCAAAAACACAGGUCUCCGCUAAGUCGUAAGACGAUGUAUGGGGGCUGACGCCUGCCCAGUGCCAGAAGGUUAAAGAAGUUGGUUAGCAUUAGCGAAGCUGAUAACUGAAGCCCUGGUGAACGGCGGCCGUAACAAUAACGGUCCUAAGGUAGCGAAAUUCCUUGUCGGGUAAGUUCCGACCCGCACGAAAGGCGUAAUGAUUUGGAUACUGUCUCGGAGAGGGGCUCGGUGAAAUAGACUUGUCUGUGAAGAUGCGGACUACCUGCACCUGGACAGAAAGACCCUAUGAAGCUUUACUGUAACUUGAGAUUGAAAUUGGACUUUAUUUGCGCAGUAUAGGUGGGAGGCGUUGAGAAUAAUCUUGCGGGAUUGUUGGAGCCAUCAGUGAGAUACCACUCUUGUAAUGUUAGAUUUCUAACUUUGUAUCAUUAUCUGGUCAAAGAACAGUUUCAGGCGGGCAGUUUGACUGGGGCGGUCGCCUCCCAAAGGGUAACGGAGGCGCACAAAGGUUUCCUCUGAACGGGUAGAAAUCGUAUCUAGAGUGUAAAGGCAUAAGGAAGCUUGACUGUGAGACCUACAAGUCGAGCAGGGACGAAAGUCGGUCUUAGUGAUCUGACGGUGCUGAGUGGAAAGGCCGUCACUCAACGGAUAAAAGUUACUCUAAGGAUAACAGGCUGAUCUCCCCCAAGAGUUCACAUCGACGGGGAGGUUUGGCACCUCGAUGUCGGCUCAUCGCAUCCUGGGGCGGUAGUCCGUCCCAAGGGUUGGGCUGUUCGCCCAUGAAAGCGGUACGCGAGCUGGGUUCAGAACGUCGUGAGACAGUUCGGUCCAUAUCCGGUGUAGGCGUUAGAAUAUUGAGAGGAGCCUUCUCUAGUACGAGAGGACCGAGAAGGACAUACCUCUGGUGUACCAGUUAUCGUGCCAACGGUAAACGCUGGGUAGCUAUGUAUGGAGUGGAUAACCGCUGAAAGCAUCUAAGUGGGAAGCCCACCUCAAGAUAAGUAUUC
rnacentral:rRNA from 1 species